GAUGAACGCUGGCGGCGUGCCUAAUACAUGCAAGUCGAGCGAACGGACGAGAAGCUUGCUUCUCUGAUGUUAGCGGCGGACGGGUGAGUAACACGUGGAUAACCUACCUAUAAGACUGGGAUAACUUCGGGAAACCGGAGCUAAUACCGGAUAAUAUUUUGAACCGCAUGGUUCAAAAGUGAAAGACGGUCUUGCUGUCACUUAUCGAUGGAUCCGCGCUGCAUUAGCUAGUUGGUAAGGUAGCGGCUUACCAAGGCAACGAUGCAUAGCCGACCUGAGAGGGUGAUCGGCCACACGGGAACUGAGACACGGUCCAGACUCCUACGGGAGGCAGCAGUAGGGAAUCUUCCGCAAUGGGCGAAAGCCUGACGGAGCAACGCCGCGUGAGUGAUGAAGGUCUUCGGAUCGUAAAACUCUGUUAUUAGGGAAGAACAUAUGUGUAAGUAACUGUGCACAUCUUGACGGUACCUAAUCAGAAAGCCACGGCUAACUACGUG
rnacentral:rRNA from 1 species